rnacentral:tRNA from 1 species
GGAUCUUUGGCUCACUGGUUAAUGUGUUUGCUUUCUAAGCAGUUGGUCACUGGUUCGAUUCUGACCAGCUGCA